ACUAUGUCUUGCAGAUGUUUUGUGUCUCACAGAAACUCACCUUCAAGGCUCCUUUGUUGCAGAGAGUCUCCAUUUAGAGGGCUACAACAUGUUCAAACGCAACAGACACCUGUCCUACACAAAUGUUCCACAAAUAGCCAACAGAGGUGGUGGUGGAGUUGCUGUUUAUGUGAAAAGCCACAUUCAGCUGUGUACAGACCUCCAGACGACAGUGUGAGAUCAUUCCUGUCCAACCUGGGGAGCCUGCUGGACUCAUUGGAGAUCAUGGACUGUCAGCCCAUCAUUGUCUGUGGUGAUUUCAACGAGAAUCUCUUCUCCAACACUGAUAAGCCAAUCCUUGAGCUCUUCCAGUCCAGAGGAUUUGCACAAGUCAUCAGUAAUGCAACCACUGACAAGAACACACUGCUGGACCUCAUUUUCAUAUCUCAACCACAACGCUGUCUCUACUCUGGUGUGAUGAGAACUUAUUACAGUUAUCACAACCCUGUUUACUGUGUCAUGUCAUCUAACAGUCCAUAAAGGUAUCAGGUGAGUUUUAAAGAAAAAUGCAAUGUACUUGUAUAUACAUUGAUGUAAUACAAU
ensembl:lncRNA